GGGAGGAGAGAGGUGAGGCUACAGAGGAAAGUUGAAGCUUUGAGAAGUCUAGCCUUGAAUGCCAACUGAAGCAGGUCCUGCUCUGGGCUCGGGAGUCACUCUGGGCCUCUGUUUUCAGAAGUGUCUGCUGUUCUCCAAGCAGUUCAUGCACCAGGGCAACGUGGCUGAGACCACCCGGUAAGUGCAAGGGCUGGGACUGGGCUCAUGGGGUGGGGAGAAAAUCCACCGUCAUGCUGACAUACCCAUCCCUGUCAGAUUUGAGAAGCUUGCUCAGGACUGCAAGAAACAGCUGGAGAUCCUGCAGCUGGCCCAGGCUCAGGGCCUCGACCCUCCCAGCCACCACUUUGAGUUGAAGACAUUCCAGACCGUGAGGAUCUUCUCAGAACUCAACAGCACAGAAAUGCAUCUGAUCAUUGUCCGGGGAAUGAACCUCCCAGCCCCUCCAGGGGUGACUCCCGAUGACCUGGAUGCUUUUGUGCGGUUUGAGUUUCACUACCCUAACUCGGACCAGGCUCAAAAAAGCAAAACAGCUGUGGUGAAGAACACAAACUCUCCAGAAUUUGAUCAACUCUUCAAACUAAACAUCAACCGAAACCACCGGGGCUUCAAG
rnacentral:sRNA from 1 species